GAUCCUACGGGGGGCAGCAGUGAGGAAUAUUGGUCAAUGGGCGCGAGCCUGAACCAGCCAAGUCGCGUGAGGGAUGACGGUCCUACGGAUUGUAAACCUCUUUUGCCGGGGAGCAAGCGUGCGUUCGUGAACGCGCGUCGAGAGUACCCGGAGAAAAAGCAUCGGCUAACUCCGUGCCAGCAGCCGCGGUAAUACGUAGGGGGCAAGCGUUAUCCGGAUUUACUGGGUGUAAAGGGAGCGUAGACGGCGGCGCAAGUCCGGAGUGAAAGCCCACGGCCCAACCGUGGGACUGCUCUGGAAACUGG
rnacentral:rRNA from 1 species